GGUGUUGGAUAACUGAAAACUGUAAGAAACUGGCUUUUCUCAAAUUUUACAAUUUUCUUUAUUUUUGCAUUUUUUUACUUUUUUUUUUUGAAUAAAAAAGAUACCAAAAGUUUUAUUUCCAUUAUGUUUUACACCAACAUAGUACUAGACUGCCAUAUAGGUAGUUUAGUCAUAAGUGUUGUUUUCCUCCGGUGAUGGAUAAUUG
rnacentral:lncRNA from 1 species